rnacentral:lncRNA from 1 species
AGGAGAAAAAAAAAGAAAAAAUCUCUCUUUCUCUCUCCCUCGCGCGCCGCGACCCCCCCCCCGUUCUCUUCUCUUUUCCUUUCUCUUUUCUCUUCUCCCUUCCGUUUUCUUCCCGUCACAGCCCAGCCGCAACCGCCGCCGAUCCUUUCUCUUCCGUUCUCUUCCCGCCGCAGCUCAGCCGCCCCAUCCGUUUCCUUCUCUCCGUUCGUCGCGUGAACAUGUAACCGCCGGCUGUCUUCCCCUCUCCUUUCUCCUCUGUUCUCUGCCCAGCACCGCGUGACCCUCCGCCCAGCGCCGUGUGACCCUCUGCCCACCGCCCCGCGCGACCUCUGUCUCCGCGCGUUACCGUUACUACGACCAGAUCUGCGUCGUCGUGCCCCGUCCUAAAUCGUCUUUGUCUCCGUCGAAGUUUUGUUGGUAAGAUUAAAGUUAUGAAAUUGUAGUCGUUUCCAAAACAAUUUAAGUAUGGGUUAUGAUGUUUUCAAGGUGUUCAAACGUUACGGAUGGGUUAAUUGACUAAUUUGAUAAAUUAUUCUUGAAGGUGUGAAAGGUAACUUUGGGUCACUUAAAUUCACAACCAAUUUGUGAAUUGUUAAGGGUUCAGUUCGCCAGUAUUUCGGUAAGUUGGGGAAUUUACAUAUGGAGUAAUUUGAAAGGUUGAAACUAUUUAGAACGAUGUUUGAUUUUAUGAAUUGAAUUAUGUUUAGGAUUUGAUUCAUUGGAUUUAGUAGAUUGAAGAAUUUGCAUAGAAAUCGAGGUAAGGGAUUUUCUACUGGACUCAAUUGUGAUUGUGAACUGUGAUUGUGAACUGUAUGUGUGUUGAAUGUAUACUGGGGUUGACUGAAAAUAUAUAUGAAUGUAUAUAAAUUGAAGUAGACUUGACGUCGAAUGUAUGUCGUGAUUGUCAUGGAAUCUAUAUAUAAAUGUGUGUAUGUGGACAGGACGGAGAUUGUAGAUUGUGUUUGUAUGAGAUUCUCGUUUAGAUUGGGUGUAUGAUUACGCUAAAGUAUGACUGUGUGCUGGUGAACUGAGGGGUGCAUUGACUGUAUAGUGGAUUGACUGAUGUAUUAGCAUAUUAUUGACAGACAUAUGACUGUAGUAAAAUAAGUUAACUGUUAGGAUGUUGAAAGAAAGAACUUUGUGACUUGAAGUAACUGAAAGAUGGGUUGAAUGGAAUGAGGGGAUAAAUUGUUAGAUUGUAUUGGGAUGUUUACCUUGUAGGUGUCCCACGGGAUCACCAAUUUAUUGUGCACCUUCGGGAGCAUUUGACUGAUAUGUGUUUCUGCAGAACACUAGACUGAUAUGUACGUCCCUCGGGGCGUUAGACUGAGAUGUGUAUUCUACGGGAUCACAAGACUGCGACUGUACAUGGUGUUCCAAUAGAACUUUAACAAUUUAUUUUCCCCUGACGGGACCAGUAGAGGGUCUCUUACUGAGUAUUUAAAAUACUCACCCUUCUUAUGUUAAAUUUUCAGGCAAAGGUAAUAAAGGCAACAAACAGGCGAGGGGCAGGAAGGAAGCGUGAUGCCAUAGGAAACGUGUUUUUGCUUCCGCUUAUGGGUUCUUGUGAGGUUUAAAAUGAAUUGAAAUUUAGUUUACAAACGUUGGUUGUAAAUAGUAUUAUUUUAUGUUUUCUUGAAUGUUUAAAAAUCAGGCCUGACUUAAAGAUGUUUUGUUUUUAAAUUGCUUACGUUUUGUUUUAUAUUAAUCAAAGUCUUUAUUUGUUAAAAAUUAACGAUCUCGACGUACUUAGAAAAGUUGGGUUGUUACAGUUGGUAUCAGAGCCUAAGUUUUAGGUUCUGUAGACUGACUUACGAUGUAAGUCUAUGUUUUUGUGUCCCUAUGGCUAACGCGACCCUUCGUCUCUCGUCAGGUAUGCUUUAUGCUUAUAUGUAUGGUUUAUGUAUAUGACCUUGCCUAAGUUAAACUAGAAUUACAUGAAUGUUAUGAUUCAACAAGUUAAAGUAGUUGCUUGUGCUCCUCGUCAGUUGAAGAGUCAUGAGGAAAAUUAUACAACUUAUGAUAUGGAAUUGACAGUUGUGGUUUUUACAUUAAUGAUUUGAAGGCACUAUUUGUAUGAUGAAAAGAUAUAGAUAUUUUCUAACCAAAAGAGUAUAAAAUACUUCUUCACUCAAAAGAAGUUGAGUAUGAGAUAGCAAAGAUGGUUUCAGUUAGUAAAUGACUAUGAUUGUGAGAUUUUGUACCAUCUAGGUAAGGCGAAUGUGGAAGUUGGUGCUCUUCGUAGAAAAGUAUCACAUUUUGACAGCACUUAUUACCAGACAGGUUUCAUUAGACAAAAACCACGAGAGAGCUGAGAUUGUAGUUUUAGUGGGAGAAGUCACCUCACAGUUAGCUCAGUUGUCAGUACAUCCGAUCUUGAGACAAAGAAUUCUUGUGGUUCAAUUCAUUGAUCCUUAUUUGAUUGAGAAGCAUCGCCUAGUAGAAGUAGGGCAAGUUAAGGAGUUUUCCAUAUCCUUUGAUGAUGAACUUAUGUUUGAGAGAGAAUUAUGUGUGCCAACAGAAAAAGCAAUUAAGACAAGGUUAUUGGUUGAGACUCAUAGUUUCCCAUUUCUCAUGCAUCCAAGUAGCACAAAAAUGUAUCCGUAUCUGAAAAGAGUUUGUUACUAGCGUAAUAUGAAGAGAGAAAUGGAAGAUCUUGUUAGUAAGUGCUUAGUAUGUCAGCAAGUUAAGGCACCUAGACAGAAACCAGCAGGUUUGUUACAACCUUUAAGUGUGCCAGAGUGGAAGUGGGAGAAUGUGUCGAUGAAUUUUAUUUCAGGGCUGCCUAAGACCCUGAAGGGUUUCACAGUGAUUUUGGUUGUCAUAGACAGGCUUACGAAAUCGGCACAUUUUGUACCAGGGAAAUCCACUUAUACUGCUAGUAAUUGGGCAGAGUUGUAUUUAACUGAGAUUGUGAGACUGCAUGGAGUGCCUGUAUCGAUUGUUUCUGAUAGGGAUGCACGGUUUACUUCCAAGUUUUGGAAGGGACUUCAGACUGCUAUGGGUACGAGAUUGGAUUUUAGUACAGCCUUUCAUCCACAGACUGAUGGUCAAACUGAACGUUUGAACCAAGUUUUAGAGGAUAUGCUACGAGCUUGUGUUAUAGAGUUUCCAGGUAGUUGGGACUUUCAUCUACAUUUGAUGGAGUUUUCUUAUAACAACAGUUUCCAGGUUACCAUCGGUAUGACACCAUUUGAGGCUUUGUAUGGCAAAUGUUGUAGAACCCCUGUUUGUUGGGGUGAGGUUGGUGAACAUAGGUUGAUGGGACCUGAAUUAGUUCGGUCUACUAAUGAGGCUAUUCAAAAGAUUAGAGCACGUAUGCAAACAGCGCAGAGUAGACAGAAGAGUUAUGCGGAUGUACGGCGAAAAGACCUUAAGUUCGAUGUGGGAGAAAAGGUAUUCUUGAAGGUAGCACCUAUGAAGGGUGUUAUGCGUUUUGAGAAGAAAGGAAAGUUAAGUCCUCGUUUUGUUGGACCAUUUGAGAUCUUAGAGACGGUUGGUGUUGUGGCGUAUCGCUUGGCAUUACCACCAUCUCUCUCUGAAGUCCAUAAUGUUUUCCAUGUUUCGAUGUUGAGGAAGUAUAUGGCCGAUACAUCUCAUGUAGUAGACUAUGAACCCUUGGAGAUUGAUGAGCGUUUGAGCUAUGUAGAACAACCUGUGGAGAUUCUGGCUAGAGAGGUAAAGACGCUUCGUAAUAGAAGUAUUCCAUUAGUAAAGGUUUUGUGGCGGAACCAUCGAAUUGAAGAGGCGACAUGGGAGCGAGAGGAAGAGAUGAGGACUCGUUAUCCAGAGUUAUUUCAGGAUUAGAACUUUCGAGGACGAAAGUUUCUUAAGGAGGGAAGAAUGUAACGCCCCAAACUUGAAGGUAAAUUAUUUUGAGAGAAUUAUUUCGAUUUGUUCAAGAUUUUUUUUAAAAAUAUGUUGAAGGGGAGAAAGAAGAUUUGAAAAUGUAUUAAUAUAAUUAAAUAUAUAUAUGUAUUUAAUUAUAUUUUUAUUAUUAUAUAUAUUUUACAUUUUAUUAAAUAAAAGAAAAGAAAAUGAAAAAAAAAAUUUACUUUCUUCUUCCUCCCGUACGCCCAUCCCUUCCGUUCUCUCCGUUCGCGCAGCAACCGCCGUCGGCCAUCUCCGUUCCUCUUCUCCUUCCGUUCGUGCCCAGCCGCAGCCCAGCCGCCGAUCCUUUCCCUUCCGUUUCCUUCCCGCCGCAGCCUAGCCGCAGCCAGCCGCCGGUCCCUUCCUUCCAUUUUCUUCUUCCGUCUGCAGCCCCGCCGCGAAGCAAGACCGUGCCGCUGCCAGUCCAGAUCUGCGUUGCAGUUGUCCCGCGCGCCGAUCUGCCGUCUCCAUCUCCGUUCGCGAAGCAAAAUUGCCGCCGCUCGCCGAACCCAACCGCCACCCUCUCUUUUCUCCUUCGGAUCGAAACCGCCGUCCAGAUCUGCAUCACAACUGCCGCUCGUAACCGUCGGCCGGUUCGUGAAGCCAGCUGCGCAACCUUCGUUCCAACCGCUGCACUGCCGCGCGAUUCUCCAGCCACGUCUUCUUUAGCCGACCGCUGACCGACCCACACUUAGGAUUUUGCUGCGAGUCGACAGUCGUGCGUUGAGGUGUUGGGAGUAACCUUGGGCUCCCUUAAAUUCACAACAAAUUUGUGAAUUGUUGAGGGUUCAGUUCGCCAGUAUUUCGGUAAGUUGUGGAAUUUACAUAUGGAGUAAUUUGAAAGGUUGAAACUAUUUAGAACGAUGUUGAUUUUAUGAUUGAUUAUGUUUAGGAUUUGAUUCAUUGGAUUUAGUAGAUUGAAGAAUUUGCAUAGAAAUCGAGGUAAGGGAUUUUCUACUGGACUCACUUAUGAUUGUGAAUUGUAUGUCUGUAUGAUUAUCUCUGACUGAGUAAAGAUGAUGAGAUGAUAUAUAUAUACACACGUAUGGAUGUAGAUUCGGUGUUGAAUGUAUAUUGUGGAUUGACUGAAAAUAUAUAUAUGCAUAUGAAUUGAAGUAGACUUAAUGUUGAAUGCAUAUUGUGAUUGUCAUGGAAUAUAUAUAUGUGUGUGGAUGUGGACAGGACGAAAAUUGUAGAUUGUGCUUGUAUGAGAUGCAGAUGCGAUCUUGUGAUUGUCGUUUAGAUUGGGUGUACGUUACGCUAAAGUAUGACUGUGUGCUGGUGAUCUGAGGGGUGUAUUGACUGUAUAGUUUGAUUGAUUGACGUAUUAGUAUAUUAUUGACAGACAUAUGACUAAAGUGAGAUAAGUUGACUGUUAGGACGUUGAGAGAAAGAACUCUAUGUUUUGAAGUAACUAAAAGAUGGAUUGAAUGGAAUGAGGGGAUAAAUUGUUAGAUUGUAUUGGGAUGUUUACCUUGUAGGUGUCUCACUGGAUCACCAAUUUAUUUUGCACCUUCGGGAGCAUUUGACUGAUAUGUGUUUCUGCAGAACACUAGACUGAUAUGUACGUCCCUCGGGGCGUUAGACUGAGAUGUGUAUCCUACGGGAUCACAAGACUGCGACUGUACAGGGUGUCCCAAUAGAACUUUAACAAUUUAUUUUCCCCUAACGAGACCAGUAGAAGGUCUCUUACUGAGUAUUGUUAUACUCACCCUUCUUAUGUUUAAUUUUCAGCAAAGGUAAUAAUGGCGGCAAACAGGCGAGGGGCAGGAAGGAAGCGUGAUGCCAUAGGAAACGUGUUUUUGCUUCCGCUUAUGGAUUCUUGUGAGGUUUAAAAUGAAUUGAAAUUUAGUUUACAAACGUUGGUUGUAAAUAGUAUUAUUUUAUGUUUUCUUGAAUGUUUAAAAAUCAGGCCUGACUUGAAGAUGUUUUGUUUUAAAUUGCUUACGUUUUGUUUUAUAUUAAUCAAAGUCUUUAUUUGUUAAAAAUUAACGAUCUCGACGUACUUAGAAAAGUUGGGUCGUUACAUUAUGUAUGAAGGAUAGUAUAUUAAAUAUAAUAAAUUGAAAAACUUUAAUUGGUACCGU